rnacentral:lncRNA from 1 species
UUUAAAUCUGUUGUAAGAAUUACUAGGAUUUGUUUAGAGUUUAUUUAGGAUUUAUUUAAAGUUUGGUUAGGAUUUAAUUAGAAUUUUUUUAGGAUUUUAUUAGGAUUUAGUUAAGAUUUGUCUAGAAUUUGAUUAGAGUUUGGUUAGGAUUUUUUAGGAUUUGAGUAGGAUUUAUGUAGGAUUUGGUUAGGAUUUGACAAGGAUUUGACUAGAAUUUGAUUAGAUUUUGACUAGGAUUUAAUUGAGGUUUCUAUUUUAAUAUUUUAUUAAGGUUUUUAUUUUAGUAUAUUUUUAAAUUUCUUUGUUAUUUCUUUAUGAUUCUUUAAAGGACCUCUAAGAAUACUUUGUGUUUUUUAUACAAUUCCUUUGAAAUUUUGAUUGA